rnacentral:rRNA from 1 species
GACGAACGCUGGCGGCGUGCUUAACACAUGCAAGUCGAACGAAGAGCGAUGGAAGCUUGCUUCUAUCAAUCUUAGUGGCGAACGGGUGAGUAACGCGUAAUCAACCUGCCCUUCAGAGGGGGACAACAGUUGGAAACGACUGCUAAUACCGCAUACGAUCUAAUCUCGGCAUCGAGGAUAGAUGAAAGGUGGCCUCGACAUGUAAGCUAUCACUGAAGGAGGGGAUUGCGUCUGAUUAGCUAGUUGGAGGGGUAACGGCCCACAAAGGCGAUGAUCAGUAGCCGGUCGGAGAGGAUGAACGGCCACAUUGGGACUGAGACACGGCCCAGACUCCUACGGGAGGCAGCAGUGGGGAAUCUUCCGCAAUGGACGAAAGUCUGACGGAGCAACGCCGCGUGAGCGAUGACGGCCUUCGGGUUGUAAAGCUCUGUUAAUCGGGACGAAAGGCCUUCUUGCGAAUAGUGAGAAGGAUUGACGGUACCGGAAUAGAAAGCCACGGCUAACUACGUG